GCCUCCCGCAAAAACCAAUGUAUAGGAGGUCUCGCCUGCCCAGUGACAAGUUAAACGGCCGCGGUAUUUUGACCGUGCGAAGGUAGCGCAAUCACUUGUCUUUUAAAUGAAGACCUGUAUGAAUGGUAGAACGAGGGCUUAACUGUCUCCCUUUUUAAGUCAAUGAAAUUGAUCUGUCCGUGCAGAAGCGGACAUAAUAAUACAAGACGAGAAGACCCUUUGGAGCUUAAGACUCCAGAUCAAUUAUGUCAAGAACUUAAACCAAGUUAAACCAAAUAACACCUGAUCCUAGUCUUUAGUUGGGGCGACCGCGGGAGAAAAUAAAGCUCCCAUGAGGACUGGACCCACCUCCAGAACCAAGAAAGACAUCUCUAAGUCACAGAACUUCUGACCACAAAGAUCCGGCCACCCGCCGACCAACGGACCAAGUUACCCUAGGGAUAACAGCGCAAUCCCCUUUCAGAGUCCAUAUCGACAAGGGGGUUUACGACCUCGAUGUUGGAUCAGGACAUCCUAAUGGUGCAGCCGCUAUUAAGGGUUCGUUUGUUCAACGAUUAAAGUCCU
rnacentral:rRNA from 1 species